UUAUAUUAGACAAGGAAGGAUUGUAUUGUUAUGUCCAAACAAUUAAUGCAUAUUUAUUACUAUUACGGAAGCAUUAUCUGUAGGUAAAAGUCGGCAAAGUUACCGUUAAGAUUUUUUAUUGUGUCCUAGACUGGCGACCUUUGGCCAUUGGAUCUCCGAGUACCUGCGGUUCACGUGCGUUUGCAGUAACUCAGUUCUCGUGGUCAACGGUUUUUCCUGUUCCAAAUGUACAUGUAACGGUGCUCGGUAACUACGAGCAAACGGAACCGUGAAAAUUCCCCAACGUUGCCAACGCCGUCCACCAAAUACAACAUCGCUUGCUCCCGACUCCCAGCCCUCUGAAAUUGGCUGUAGAAGGGAGGAGUCAAAGCUAAAGCGCAUUUUAUCGCCUCUUCGUCUUUAGACCCUAUCGAACAUUCGAAGCAGUCAGGACGAAUUGAACGAUUGAACUUUGGUAGAUUCAAAUCACCCGUAAAUCGAACUGUUAGAACACUUGCGCAAGAUAUACAGUGUCUUCUCUCCCUCAAAUGAGAGUGGUUCUUCGUCAGCAUACAUCAAACGCCAUCAAGAAUAACGACAGCUGCAAUGGAAAUACAGGGAAAAUUAAUUCGAACGACCGAAUUUAGAGGAUGAUAUGAUCGACGAUAGCCUCGUUUAUAAACGAAAAUAAUACAAAUUUCCCUUAAUGAAUUUAAUUACGAAUAAUAUUUGUGGCAUUCGAGAAAACGAAUACAAAAUCAUUACAAUGAAAAUGUAUAUCUCAAUACACGAUUCCACUACAAAUAGCAGAGAAGAUAGAAGAGAAUUUGAAUUUCUAACGCGAACACCAAUAUCAGUGAUGUCAACUAUGAGCUAAUAAUGCAAGAGCGUAAGGAUGCAGUUUUCGGGGGAAUACCUCUGGGUAUUUAUACAAUGAAGAUACGAAAAAAUCAUAGCAAUGAACGAUACUUUUGGAAAUUAAGACAAAGUUAUCGCUGAAGCAAACUCAUAAUGGAAUCACCGAGAGAUAAUUGACCAACACAUUUAUUUGAUAAAGAGAAAGAGAAGGCUAAAGAGAACCAUAUAAAUUCUGCUUACGAUGGGUUUCUAUGUAAAGAAGAAACGCGUGGCGUAUAAAUACAUUUUAUUAAUAUGAUUUAAAUUUAAAAUAAAUUUUAAUUAAUUAGUAAACGUAAACAACAAUUUAUAUACUUUUACACCAUCAAAUAUAACAUUUUAUGAUGAUACAUCUGCACCUUGAAUUUUAUAUAUUUCUCGUUAUACAUAUUAAUAAAACAAUAAUAAUAAUUUCGAAAGAGAAAUUCAACGUCAGUAUUUCCAGUUAAUUAUCUAACAAUCAAUAUGAAAUAGAGAUAUGAAGACAGAUUUUAUUGUAAACAGUAUAAUAUUGAAUUAUAUAUAUAUUGUCUCAUGCUUUUUAAAGUUUAUUUAAUACGUAAGUAAACUUUUAAAACUUUUAUAUUUAUUAAAAAAUACAUUUUUCACAUGAAAAGGACUGUGUUCUUUUAAUUGUUACAUUACAUUUUCU